CGGGCAGCAGCGGGCACUGAUAGCAUCCUGCAUCCCUACACAGCAUCCUGCAUUCCUGUGUAGCAUCCUGUGCCCAUACACAGCAUCCUGCAUCCCUACAGAGCAUCCCAUGUCCAUACACAGCAUCCUGCAUUCCUGCACAGCAUCCCACAUCAUACUGUGUCCCUACACAGCAUCCUGCCAGCAAUGUCGUGCACCUCUUGGUGUCUGGGUGCCUCCCUCACCCCACACGGAGCUCUCUGUGCC
rnacentral:lncRNA from 1 species